rnacentral:lncRNA from 1 species
GAGCUGCAGUCUCUAGUGAGAGUCUUUGGCUCAGCCCACUCCAGAGGAGUAUCUUAAUUUUCCUUCUCUUUCUGCACAGGAUCUGGCCACUCUGAACAAGCAGCCUAUAGGAACCAGCCCCCAAGAGCACCAGCACUGCCAGGAAUCCAUCUACUAGUCACCUUCCUCAGUGGCUCAAAAGUUCUCAGCCUGUCCCCAGCUGGCCCGCCAAAGCAGCACAGACUCUUAGCUGACACCAGGGAGUCUCAGAAACACGUUAACCUACCUGCACAGUGAUUACCUUCUUCAGGUGAGCAAGGAACUCUUCCCCUUUUGGUAGUCUCACUGCAAGCGAAUUAGCGACCAUCUACUCCGUUACCUACAGUUAAACCGGCCUCUUCCAUGCUGCAAAGCAAGCUUCGUUGAUUGUUUGCAGUUAACUUCUGGCUUCCUUUCAGCUGACUUAGGGGAGGAUCAUCCUCUUGGCAUUAUAAGAACAUGCACAAUUGAAUCAAACAGUCAGAGAGAUGGCAGAGUUUGCCUGAUGUCACCAGAGGAAGAUACAGGAGCAGACGGUGAAGGCAGUAGCUCUAUGUACCACAAGAACCUCAGAACACAGCCUCCCCAUGGAAGAAUGGAUGUGCUGCCGAAAGAGGCAAUGCACCAAACGCUGGCACUACAGCUUCUCUCAUCCAAGCCAAAUUGUCAUUGGAAAUGGCUUCUUGGAUGCCCAAUGCUGCUUUUGCGUUCGGUGAUGGAGCUAGGCAAUAUCUGUGUUGCCAGGAAGGCUCUGAUGGUCUGAUGAUUUACAUAGUCCCAGCCUAUGUGACACACACCUGCGCAUGCAUGCACUUGCACACACGCACAGAAUGGAUGGUGAGUGAUUCAUCUCUUUUAACCCAGAUUAUAGCAGCUAACCCCAUUGUUCCAUACCUUGCUUUUAAAAAGGAAAAAAAAAAAAUCUAAGUGCCAUAUCUUAUCUGAUAAAAAUCAAGAAAAAAAGCCUGUCUAGCAGGCAUUUUUAAAAUCCUGAUUUCAG